UCCUUCCGAAUCUUUUUGUAGGCUUCUGUCCUGGAUCCGGAGCCCAAGUGUCUGUGCUAUGCAGAAUCUGAAAACAAACCACAGGGAGAACGCUGAGAACCUUGAGAGCCAGGAAAUGGAACUGUUAACAUUUAUGGAUAUAGCCAUUGAUUUUACUGAAGAGGAGUGGGAAUGCCUUCAGCCUGCUCAGAAAAAUGUAUAUAGAGAUGUGAUGCUAGAGAAUUAUAGAAAUUUUGCCUUCCUGGCCAUGACUCCUAAUUAUACCCAAGUAUAUUCACCAGAAAAGGGCCUAAAACAUAUAUUUCAUGAAGUGAUAAGUGCAAAAUAUAGAAGUUGUGAUCUUGAAUAUUUACCAAAAAAGAAAAUAGGGAAAACUCCAAGUGAGAGUGAACACCAGAAAUCAUAUAAAAAAUUAGGCCUUGUUCUCCACCAGAGAAUUUAUACUGGAGAGAAUCCCUACAAAUGUAAAGAAUGUGGCAAAGCUUUUAGUAAAAACAAAAAAGGUCUUAUUUACCACAGAGGAAACCACUAUGGAGAAAAGCCCUACAAAUGUAAAGUAUGUGCCAAAGCUUUUGGUCAAAAAUCACACCUUAUUUGCCACAGGAAAACUCACACUGGAGAGAAGCCCCACAAAUGUACAGAAUGUGGCAAAGCUUUCCAUCAGAAAUCAGACCUUAUUUGCCACAGGAGAACUCACACUGGAAAGAAGCCC
rnacentral:lncRNA from 1 species